AUACUUACCCAAAAGGGGAAAUGCCUUUAUCACAAAGGUAGUUUUCCUAGGGUAAGGUGUGUUCAUUGAACUAUAGAUGUGUUGACUCCUGUGGUUUCCCCAAAUGUGGGAAACUUGAUGGCAUAAUUUGUGGUAGUAUGGGGCUGCAUUUGUACUUUUCUAUA
ensembl:snRNA U1 U1 spliceosomal RNA